rnacentral:rRNA from 1 species
UACGAAGGGGGCUAGCGUUGCUCGGAAUCACUGGGCGUAAAGGGUGCGUAGGCGGGUCUUUUAAGUCAGGGGGUGAAAUCCUGGAGCUCAACUCCAGAACUGCCUUUGAUACUGAGGAUCUUGAGUUCGGGAGAGGUGAGUGGAACUGCGAGUGUAGAGGUGAAAUUCGUAGAUAUUCGCAAGAACACCAGUGGCGAAAGCGGCUCACUGGCCCGAUACUGACGCUGAGGCACGAAAGCGUGGGGAGCAAACAGGG